UAGGGAAUCUUCGGCAAUGGACGAAAGUCUGACCGAGCAACGCCGCGUGAGUGAAGAAGGUUUUCGGAUCGUAAAACUCUGUUGUUAGAGGAGAACAAGGACGUUAGUAACUGAACGUCCCCUGACGGUAUCUAACCAGAAAGCCACGGCUAACUACGUGCCAGCAGCCGCGGUAAUACGUAGGUGGCAAGCGUUGUCCGGAUUUAUUGGGCGUAAAGCGAGCGCAGGCGGUUUCUUAAGUCUGAUGUGAAAGCCCCCGGCUCAACCGGGGAGGGUCAUUGGAAACUGGGAGCCUUGAGUGCAGAAGAGGAGAGUGGAAUUCCAUGUGUAGCGGUGAAAUGCGUAAAUAUAUGGAGGAACACCAGUGGCAAAGGCGGCUCUCUGGUCUGUAACUGAAGCUGAGGCUCGAAAGCGUGGGGAGCAAACAGG
rnacentral:rRNA from 1 species